CCUACGGGGGGCAGCAGUGAGGAAUAUUGGUCAAUGGGCGCGAGCCUGAACCAGCCAAGUCGCGUGAAGGAUGACUGCCCUACGGGUUGUAAACUUCUUUUAUCAAGGAAUAAAGUGAGGCACGUGUGCCUUUUUGUAUUUACUUUAUGAAUAAGGAUCGGCUAACUCCGUGCCAGCAGCCGCGGUAAUCCUGAGGAUCCGAGCGUUAUCCGGAUUUAUUGGGUUUAAAGGGAGCGUAGAUGGGUUGUUAAGUCAGUUGUGAAAGUCUGCGUCUCAACCGUAAAAUUGCAAUGGAUACUGGCAGGCUUGAGUAUAGUUGAGGUAGGCGGAAUUCGUGGUGUAGCGGUGAAAUGCAUAGAUAUCACGAAGAACUCCGAUUGCGAAGGCAGCUUACUAAACUGCCACUGACAUUGAUGCUCGAAAGUGUGGGUAUCAAACAGGAUUAGAUACCCUGGUAGUC
rnacentral:rRNA from 1 species